rnacentral:rRNA from 1 species
UCCUGUUUUAAUAUAUUUUAAAGUAGGGCCUGAUCCCAUCUGAUCUUAGAAGCUAAGCUGAGACAACUCUGGUUAGUACUUGGAUGGGAGACUGCCACUGAAUACCAGAUGCUUUAGGAU